rnacentral:rRNA from 1 species
GAUGAACGCUGGCGGCGUGCCUAAUACAUGCAAGUCGAGCGAACAGACGAGGAGCUUGCUCCUCUGACGUUAGCGGCGGACGGGUGAGUAACACGGGGAUAACCUACCUAUAAGACAGGGAUAACUUCGGGAAACCGGGGCUAAGACCGGAUAAUAUAUUGAACCGCAUGGUGCAAGAGUGAAAGACGGUUUUGCUGUCACUUAUAGAUGGAUCCGCGCAGCAUUAGUUAGUUGGUAAGGUAACGGCUUACCAAGGCAACGAUGCGUAGCCGACCCGAGAGGGUGAUUGGCCACACUGGAACUGAGACACGUCCCCGACUCCUACGGGAGGCAGCAGUAGGGAAUCUUCCGCGAUGGGCCAAAGCCUGACGGAGCAACGCCGGCUGAGUGCUGAAGGUCCUCGGCUCCUAAAACUCUGUUAUCCGGGAAGAACAAAUGUGUAAGUACCUAUGCACGUCUUGACGGUACCUAAUCAGAAAGCCACGGCUAACUCCGUG